AUACGUAGGGGGCGAGCGUUAUCCGGAUUUAUUGGGCGUAAAGCGUGUGUAGGCGGUUUGUUAAGUUCGGGAUGAAAUGCUGAGGCUUAACCUCAGUUAGUUUCGAAUACUGGCAGACUAGAGUGCAGUAGAGGCAAUUGGAAUUCAUAGUGUAGCGGUGGAAUGCGUAGAUAUUAUGAGGAACAUCAGUGGCGAAGGCGAAUUGCUGGGCGGUUACUGACGCUGAGACACGAAAGCGUGGGGAGCAAAUAGGAUUAGAUACCCUAGUAGUCCACGCCGUAAACGAUGAGCACUAAGUGUCGGGCAACCGGUGCUGAAGUUAACACAUUAAGUGCUCCGCCUGAGUAGUACGGUCGCAAGACUGAAACUCAAAGGAAUUGGCGGGG
rnacentral:rRNA from 1 species